UUGAACGCUGGCGGCAGGCCUAACACAUGCAAGUCGAGCGGAUGAAGGGAGCUUGCUCCUGGAUUCAGCGGCGGACGGGUGAGUAAUGCCUAGGAAUCUGCCUGGUAGUGGGGGAUAACGUCCGGAAACGGGCGCUAAUACCGCAUACGUCCUGAGGGAGAAAGUGGGGGAUCUUCGGACCUCACGCUAUCAGAUGAGCCUAGGUCGGAUUAGCUAGUUGGUGGGGUAAAGGCCUACCAAGGCGACGAUCCGUAACUGGUCUGAGAGGAUGAUCAGUCACACUGGAACUGAGACACGGUCCAGACUCCUACGGGAGGCAGCAGUGGGGAAUGUUGGACAAUGGGCGAAAGCCUGAUCCAGCCAUGCCGCGUGUGUGAAGAAGGUCUUCGGAUUGUAAAGCACUUUAAGUUGGGAGGAAGGGCAGUAAGUUAAUACCUUGCUGUUUUGACGUUACCAACAGAAUAAGCACCGGCUAACUUCGUG
rnacentral:rRNA from 1 species